UAGCGAAAGCGAGUUUUAACUGAGCGUUCAGUUACUUGACGUAGACCCGAAACCGGGCGACCUACCCAUGAGCAGGAUGAAGCGAAAGUAAAAUUUCGUGGAGGUCCGAACCCACGAGCGUUGAAAAGCUCGGGGAUGACUUGUGGGUAGCGGUGAAAUUCCAAUCGAGCCCGGAGAUAGCUGGUUCUCCCCGAAAUAGCUUUAGGGCUAGCCUCAAGGUGAGAGAUACGGAGGUAGAGCACUGAAUGUCCUAGGGGGUAUUGCACCUACCGAAGACUAUCAAACUCCGAAUGCCGUCAUCUUAUACUUGGGAGUCAGACUGUGGGUGAUAAGAUUCAUAGUCGAAAGGGCAACAGCCCAGAUCGUCAGCUAAGGUCCCUAAAUGUAAGUUAAGUGGUAAAGGAUGUGGGAUUGCACAGACAACCAGGAUGUUGGCUUAGAAGCAGCCACUCAUUCAAAGAGUGCGUAAUAGCUCACUGGUCGAGUGAUCCUGCGCCGAAGAUUUCCGGGGCUAAAACUUACUACCGAAGCUACGGCAUCAGUAAUGAUGGGUAGGGGAGCUUCCCAUACGGGUUGAAGCAUGACCGUAAGGACAUGUGGACAGUAUGGGAGUGAGAAUGUUGGCAUGAGUAGCGAGAUGUGGGUGAGAAUCCCACAGGCCGUAAACCCAAGGUUUCCAGGGGAAGGUUCGUCCGCCCUGGGUUAGUCGGGACCUAAGCUGAGGCCGAAAGGCGUAGGUGAUGGACAACAGGUUGAUAUUCCUGUACUACCGAUAACCGUUUGAGAGAAGGGAUGACACAGUAGGAUAAGCUAAGCACACUGUUGGUUAUGUGUGCCCAAGCAUUGAGGCAGUCAAAGUAGGCAAAUCCGCUUUGAUAAUGCUGGGAUGUGAUGGGGAGCGAAAUUUAGUAGCGAAGUAGCUGAUUUCACACUGUCAAGAAAAGUCUCUAUCGAGGUUAAAGGUACCCGUACCGCAAACCGACACAGGUGGGUGAGGAGAGUAUCCUAAGGCCAGCGAGAGAACUGUUGUUAAGGAACUCGGCAAAAUGACCCCGUAACUUAGGGAUAAGGGGUGCCACCAUCAGGUGGCCGCAGAGAAUAGGCCCAAGCGACUGUUUACCAAAAACAUAGGUUUCUGCUAAGUCGCAAGACGAUGUAUAGGAGCUGACGCCUGCCCGGUGCUGGAAGGUUAAGGGGAUCUGUUAGAGCAAUCGAAGCAGUGAACUUAAGCCCCAGUAAACGGCGGCCGUAACUAUAACGGUCCUAAGGUAGCGAAAUUCCUUGUCGGGUAAGUUCCGACCCGCACGAAAGGCGUAACGAUUUGGGCACUGUCUCAACAACAGACUCGGUGAAAUUGUAAUUCCGGUGAAGAUGCCGGAUACCUGCGACAGGACGGAAAGACCCCAUGGAGCUUUACUGUAGCUUGACAUUGGGUCUUGGUACUACAUGUACAGGAUAGGUGGGAGGCUUUGAAACCAGGACGCCAGUUUUGGCGGAGCCAUCCUUGGGAUACCACCCUUGUAGUACUGGGACUCUAACCAUAGGCCAUGAAUCUGGUCUUGGGACACUGUCAGGUGGGCAGUUUGACUGGGGCGGUCGCCUCCCAAAAGGUAACGGAGGCGCUCAAAGGUUCUCUCAGUACGGUCGGAAAUCGUACGUAGAGUGUAAAGGCAAAAGAGAGCUUGAUUGCAAGACAUACAGGUCGAGCAAGGAUGAAAAUCGGACUUAGUGAUCCGGUGGUUCUGCGUGGAAGGGCCAUCGCUCAACGGAUAAAAGCUACCCUGGGGAUAACAGGCUUAUCUCCCCCAAGAGUCCACAUCGACGGGGAGGUUUGGCACCUCGAUGUCGGCUCAUCACAUCCUGGGGCUGUAGUAGGUCCCAAGGGUUGGGCUGUUCGCCCAUUAAAGUGGUACGCGAGCUGGGUUCAGAACGUCGUGAGACAGUUCGGUCCCUAUCCGUCGCAGGCGUAGGAAAUUUGAGAAGACCUGUCCUUAGUACGAGAGGACCGGGAUGGACGUACCUCUGGUGUACCAGUUGUCCUGCCAAGGGCAUGGCUGGGUAGCUAUGUACGGAAUGGAUAAGCGCUGAAAGCAUCUAAGCGCGAAGCCAACUUCAAGAUAAGAUUUCCCACCGCAAGGGUAAGACCCCAGAAAGACUAUCUGGUUGAUAGGUCGAAGGUGUAAGUGCAGCAAUGUAUUUAGCUUAUCGAUACUAAUAGGUCGAGGACUUGACCAA
rnacentral:rRNA from 1 species